GAUGAAGAACGUAGUGAAAUGCGAUAAGUAGUGUGAAUUGCAGAAUCCAGUGAAUCAUCGAAUCUUUGAACGCACAUUGCGCCCGCCAGCAUUCUGGCGGGCAUGCCUGUUCGAGCGUCAUUUCAACCCUCGACCUCCCUUUGGGGAAGUCGGCGUUGGGGACCGGCAGCACACCGCCGGCCCUGAAAUGGAGUGGCGGCCCGUCCGCGGCGACCUCUGCGUAGUAAUCCAACUCGCACCGGAACCCCGACGCGGCCACGCCGUAAAACACCCAACUUCUGAACGUUGACCUCGAAUCAGGUAGGACUACCCGCUGAACUUAAGCAUAUCAAUAAGCGGAGGA
rnacentral:misc_RNA from 1 species